CUCACAGUUUGAUCCUGGCUCAGAACGAACGCUGGCGGCGCGCUUAACACAUGCAAGUCGAACGAGAAGGCGGAGCAAUCCGCUGGUACAGUGGCGAACGGGUGAGGAAUACAUGGGUAACCUACCCGCGAGUGGGGGAUAACCCGCCGAAAGGCGGGCUAAUACCGCGUACGCUUCCGGGCUUGCGGGCUCGGAAGGAAAGCUGCCCCAAGGGGGUGGCGCUCACGGAUGGGCUCAUGUCCUAUCAGCUUGUUGGUGAGGUAACGGCUCACCAAGGCAUCGACGGGUAGCUGGUCUGAGAGGACGAUCAGCCACACUGGCACUGCGACACGGGCCAGACUUCC
rnacentral:rRNA from 1 species